rnacentral:lncRNA from 1 species
ACUGCCCCACGGGGGCCACAACGCGCCCGCUUCCGCCCUUAGGUGUCCUUCCAAGCCCCUGAAAAGGUUUGGCAGCUUGAUAAAGGAUCCCUGAACUCCAGUGUUUAGGCCCUGCAAGGCUCUUCUCUGUACAUUGAGGAGCUGAGGCCUCCGCACGGGAAAGUAUUCCCCACCCCCCAGCGCAAGGAGGAAGUUAGCCUAAGACUAAUUGAGGCAACUGAGGCCUCGGACAGCCGCGGGUCCUGAGAGCCCGAUGGACCUACUUUGGAAGUUCAACGUUACCGUUUGCAGAUGUGUGACACUCCCCUACUCCUACCCCCACUCCUACCCCCACCCACUUAACAGACAUGAGGAUUAUUCCAUGCCACCUUG